GUACUCCCUUAAUUCCGGUUGAUCCUGCCGGAGGCCACUGCUAUGGGGGUCCGACUAAGCCAUGCGAGUCAAGGGGGCGUCCCUUCUGGGACGCCACCGGCGGACGGCUCAGUAACACGUCGGUAACCUACCCUCGGGAGGGGGAUAACCCCGGGAAACUGGGGCUAAUCCCCCAUAGGCCUGGGGUACUGGAAGGUCCCCAGGCCGAAAGGGGACCGUAAGGUCCCGCCCGAGGAUGGGCCGGCGGCCGAUUAGGUAGUUGGUGGGGUAACGGCCCACCAAGCCGAAGAUCGGUACGGGCCGUGAGAGCGGGAGCCCGGAGAUGGACACUGAGACACGGGUCCAGGCCCUACGGGGCGCAGCAGGCGCGAAACCUCCGCAAUGCGGGAAACCGCGACGGGGGGACCCCCAGUGCCGUGCCUCUGGCACGGCUUUUCCGGAGUGUAAAAAGCUCCGGGAAUAAGGGCUGGGCAAGGCCGGUGGCAGCCGCCGCGGUAAUACCGGCGGCCCGAGUGGUGGCCACUAUUAUUGGGCCUAAAGCGGCCGUAGCCGGGCCCGUAAGUCCCUGGCGAAAUCCCACGGCUCAACCGUGGGGCUCGCUGGGGAUACUGCGGGCCUUGGGACCGGGAGAGGCCGGGGGUACCCCCGGGGUAGGGGUGAAAUCCUAUAAUCCCGGGGGGACCGCCAGUGGCGAAGGCGCCCGGCUGGAACGGGUCCGACGGUGAGGGCCGAAGGCCAGGGGAGCGAACCGGAUUAGAUACCCGGGUAGUCCUGGCUGUAAAGGAUGCGGGCUAGGUGUCGGGCGAGCUUCGAGCUCGCCCGGUGCCGUAGGGAAGCCGUUAAGCCCGCCGCCUGGGGAGUACGGCCGCAAGGCUGAAACUUAAAGGAAUUGGCGGGGGAGCACUACAAGGGGUGGAGCGUGCGGUUUAAUUGGAUUCAACGCCGGGAACCUCACCGGGGGCGACGGCAGGAUGAAGGCCAGGCUGAAGGUCUUGCCGGACGCGCCGAGAGGAGGUGCAUGGCCGCCGUCAGCUCGUACCGUGAGGCGUCCACUUAAGUGUGGUAACGAGCGAGACCCGCGCCCCCAGUUGCCAGUCCCUCCCGCUUGGGAGGGAGGCACUCUGGGGGGACUGCCGGCGAUAAGCCGGAGGAAGGGGCGGGCGACGGUAGGUCAGUAUGCCCCGAAACCCCCGGGCUACACGCGCGCUACAAUGGGCGGGACAAUGGGACCCGACCCCGAAAGGGGAAGGGAAUCCCCUAAACCCGCCCUCAGUUCGGAUCGCGGGCUGCAACUCGCCCGCGUGAAGCUGGAAUCCCUAGUACCCGCGCGUCAUCAUCGCGCGGCGAAUACGUCCCUGCUCCUUGCACACACCGCCCGUCACUCCACCCGAGCGGGGCCCGGGUGAGGCUCGAUCUCCUUCGGGAGGUCGGGUCGAGCCCGGGCUCCGUGAGGGGGGAGAAGUCGUAACAAGGUAGCCGUAGGGGAACCUACGGCUCGAUCACCUCCUAUCGCCGGGAACCCCGUCCGGGGGACUAAAGGGGUGCCGGGCCUGCCUU
rnacentral:rRNA from 1 species